ensembl:lncRNA
CUCAUCCGCACACAGGCAGUGCAAAAUGUUGGACUGGCUCGUGUCCCAUCUAAGGGAAAUAUUGCUCCAUUUCCGUGCUGUGGGUACAGAGCCAACGCUACAAGAAAUGACCUUAUUUACCACUCUUCUGAGCUUUACGUUUGUCAUUGCUGCCCAUGCUUCCUUCCUCUGAGAAACUCAGGAGACUGUUGUUGUUAUUUGCCUCCAAGCAAACAAGCAGCUGGAAAUGGCACAGCAUCUGAUGCUCGCCGUGGCCUCGGCAGGAUUUUAUUUGCCAUCCUUACAUCCUUCUCCGAGGUCUGUCUUCAAUUAAUGGCUCGUUGUCUCCUCCAGACCCAGGAUGGAUGCAGACAACCCAAAGCCCUGAGCGCCUUUGUGUCAAGCCAAGUUCAAGGUCCUUCCAGACAGUGGGAAGCAUCCCCUGGAACCAACGCAAACAGUGACUGUGUUACAGAGAAAACGAGCGGCUGAAAGAUGUCACCAGAGGAGAAGCAUGAAGAACGUUUCUUCUCCUCCUGCUCUUUAUUCUUUCUUCUUGACACAAUGUCAGGAACUGCUUUUCUCUUUUCCUCCCCACUUCCUCACACGGCGUCUUCACAGCCAGCCUUUGGCAAAGGCGUUUUGGUGGCCAUCUAUUAAUUCUGCUGUGGCCUUUAGUAAUGUCAUCUUGGCUCAAAUGCUUUCUUGAAAUACAGGGCUGCAGAUUUCUCCAAACACACUUGGCAUGUUAUAUGGUGCCGGAGCAAUGCUAACUCCCUUAGAACAUAGAUGAAGCAAACAGUGCUAAUUUAUGCCUUGCUUUUUUAUUCCCAACAUAAUUUUGAUUUUAAUGUCCUAUCCUCACCACAUCAAUAUCUUUC